GAACAUCAACCGUCUUAAGUUAAUUGCUUUAUCCACAAUCCAAGCCCAUUUUCUCUCUCUAAAUCUUUCUCUCUCCUUUUAAUAAUUAGAUCUCAUUCGCCGAUUAUCUUUUCCGAUCGCCGCGUUUUAGGUUUUUGGUUGAUUCAAUUGAUGAAAAUGACGACUAAUGAGCAAGAUCAAGAUGUCAUUCGAUGGGGUUUAAAUCUUCUUGAUUUUGGACCAUUAUUCAAUAAUACUUAUGGCAAUGGUUAUAAUUCAGAAGAUGGCAGCAUCUGUCAUGGACAAUAUAUGAGAGAGUAUAAUUAUGACACAACUUGUAAUUCUGAAUGUAACUAUGUAGAAAAUAAUGGGAUACUUGGACAUUCCCUACAAGAAGACUUUUCACGAUUAGAAGUUGAUAAUGAAGCUCAAUCUUCACAUGCAGAACCGGAGCAAUUUCACGAAUCGGACGUUUCUUCUGACUGGCUUGCACCAUCUACUGCUAAUUAUUGUUCUGUUCAUGAGAGCUUCCAAGAUGCAGAUGAUAUUGGGCGUUCGAGCUCAUGUUCUAGUCCAGGAGAGAGAUCGAAUGAUGGGGAAGACUAUUCUUAUUCACUUGAAUUUGCAGAUGAAUCUUCACUUGAUGGAGAACUUGGGAAGAGGCUAAACCAAUUGACACCUGUUCCACAUGUUCCUCGAAUUAAUGGGGAAAUACCUUCCAUGGAUGAAGCAACUUCAGAUCAUCAAAGACUUCUAGAUAGAUUGCAGUUGUAUGAUUUGGUUGAGCGCAAGGUCCAAGGAGACGGCAACUGUCAGUUCCGUGCUUUGUCGGAUCAAUUCUAUCGUACUCCAGAACACCACAAGUUUGUGAGGCAGCAGGUUGUUCAUCAGCUAAAAUCAGAACCAGAGUACUAUGAGGGAUAUGUGCCCAUGGAGUAUGGUGAAUACUUAAAGAAGAUGUCCAAGAGUGGCGAAUGGGGAGAUCAUGUAACUUUGCAGGCAGCUGCUGACUCGUAUGGUGUUAAAAUAUUCCUUAUAACUUCUUUCAAGGACACCUGUUAUAUGGAGAUUAUUCCGAAGAUUCAAAGGUCAAAACGAGUCAUCUUGCUGAGCUUUUGGGCGGAAGUGCAUUAUAACUCUAUCUAUCCACAAGGAGAUGUGGAAAUGCAUUGAAUUGGAAUCUUCAUUCAACACCUUUUGGUUGUUUAAGAGACUGAAGAUGAAGAGUUGCCGCCUCCCAGUGAAAUGAGAAAGAAGAAGAGAUGGUGGCCUUUUGGAAAUAAUUUAAGAGGAAAGAUUAUUUACAUGGAUACCUUUUAACGCUUUUAAUUCAUCUGUAUAUAUAUAUAGGUGUAGAUCAGACAUGUGAGCAUCACACCUUGAUUUGCAAUAAUUUCUUUAUUCUUUCUUUGUAUUUCUCCAGGGCCAUUGUGCAGGUGAUGAGAAUGAGCCUUAAACACAAACAUUUAUAGGAAUAUAUCAUAAAUCAUAAUAUUAGGCUGGUGAUGGCAUGCAUUUUGAUUUCGCAUGCCAUUUUCGAUUC